AACUCUAUCCACCUAGGCUUGGAUAGAUGGGAAGAAUCACCUAGUGUUUUUGCCUCUGUUGAGAUUUGAACCUGAGACCUCAAGGUCCUCCCCACUUUAUUGACCACUAGGUCACACCCUCGGGUGCAGGUUCGAGAAGAUUAAAAGGAAGCUACUUUGGAUCUCAACCCACUCUCAAACCAAAGUGGAUUCUUGCCUCCUCACCACCUCAACAUUUGGCUUUUCGUCCUGAAAAUACAGAUUCUAAGUCCAACUGCUUAAAAAAGCUACAUGCCUCAGCUCAUUUUCUCUGCACUAUAGAUACUAGGUUCGUUUUUCAUGUUAGUUUUAAGAUCUCUUAAUAUAACAAUGGACAAAGAUAUCUAUAAAUCUGGAAGUAUAAGCAACAGAAUUAUUUUUAAGCUUCAUAUAUUGAAACUUCCAAAAGGUCGGAAAUUCCUCAAAUGUCAUAAGUGAAACUGUAAAACAAAAGCAAAUUAAUCCCUUUCAUGGUGACUUCUACCUGAUCAUAAAUUUCCUCAAACAGAGAGUUUUCGUUAUUUUUAGGAAAAAAUGAGAGCUCAUCUAACCUUCAGCCAGCUAUAUUGGUCAGAGUAUU
rnacentral:lncRNA from 1 species